rnacentral:sRNA from 1 species
GCAAACUUGGUAAAGCAACGUUGACAAUGGUUUUUAUUCUUUAGUUUUAGGAACUUUUGAAGCGAAUCAUGUUUAUAUUUGUGCUGUGUGCCUCUCUUUGAAUAGAAUUAUGUUGUAUAUCAGCAUAUUUAUAGGUUCGCUAUGUAAAUAUUUAAUGUUGAGUAAAUGUUUGUUUGUGG